rnacentral:lncRNA from 1 species
GUGCCAACUUUUUCAGACUAGUCUGAUGACAUCCACAUUCGAUUUUGAGUUCUUCGAUGCAUCCAUCUCGCUCUUGUUAAAGUCGAUGGAUAGAAUGCUUCUUACUCUUGAUCUAUGAUUCAAGAGCUGAAAUAACCCCGUGAGCCGAUACAAAUUCGGCCCCCGAGGAUGCCAAGUCGUCAGUUAGUCGGAAAACCUCC